AGCAGCCGCGGUAAUUCCAGCUCCAAUAGCGUAUAUUAAAGUUGCUGCAGUUAAAAAGCUCGUAGUUGAAUUUCGGGACUAAUAUGUCGGUCGUGCCUCGGUACGUACUGGUUUAUUGGUUUCUCCUUUCUGAAGAACCAUGAUGUCAUUUAUUUGGUGUCGUGGGGAAUCAGGACUGUUACUUUGAAAAAAUUAGAGUGUUUAGAGCAGGCUCACGCUUGAAUACAUUAGCAUGGAAUAAUGAAAUAGGACGUUCGAUCCUAUUUUGUUGGUUUCUAGGAUCAACGUAAUGAUUAAUAGGGAUAGUUGGGGGCAUUAGUAUUCAAUUGUCAGAGGUGAAAUUCUUGGAUUUAUUGAAGACUAACUACUGCGAAAGCAUUUGCCAAGGAUGUUUUCAUUAAUCAAGAACGAAAGUUAGGGGAUCGAAGACGAUCAGAUACCGUCGUAGUCUUAACCAUAAACUAUGCCGACUAGGGAUCGGAUGAUGUUAAUUUUUAAUGACUCAUUCGGCGCCUUACGG
rnacentral:rRNA from 1 species